rnacentral:rRNA from 1 species
AUUGAACGCUGGCGGCAUGCCUUACACAUGCAAGUCGAACGGUAACGGGCCUUCGGGUGCCGACGAGUGGCGAACGGGUGAGCAAUGUAUCGGAACGUACCUUUCAGUGGGGGAUAACGUAGCGAAAGUUACGCUAAUACCGCAUAUUCUGUGAGCAGGAAAGCAGGGGAUCGCAAGACCUUGCGCUGAUUGAGCGGCCGAUAUCAGAUUAGCUAGUUGGUGAGGUAAAGGCUCACCAAGGCGACGAUCUGUAGCGGGUCUGAGAGGAUGAUCCGCCACACUGGAACUGAGACACGGUCCAGACUCCUACGGGAGGCAGCAGUGGGGAAUUUUGGACAAUGGGGGCAACCCUGAUCCAGCCAUGCCGCGUGAGUGAAGAAGGCCUUCGGGUUGUAAAGCUCUUUCGGCCGGGAAGAAAUCGUAUGGGCUAAUACCCUGUGCGGAUGACGGUACCGGCAUAAGAAGCACCGGCUAACUACGUGCCAGCCGCCGCCGUAAUAC